AUUGAACGCUGGCGGCAUGCCUUACACAUGCAAGUCGAACGGCAGCACGGGGGCAACCCUGGUGGCGAGUGGCGAACGGGUGAGUAAUACAUCGGAACGUGUCCCGUCGUGGGGGAUAACCAGUCGAAAGACUGGCUAAUACCGCAUGAGAUCGAGAGAUGAAAGCGGGGGACCGCAAGGCCUCGCGCGAUGGGAGCGGCCGAUGCCGGAUUAGCUAGUUGGCGGGGUAAAAGCCCACCAAGGCGACGAUCCGUGGCUGGUUUGAGAGAACGACCAGCCACACUGGGACUGAGACACGGCCCAGACUCCUACGGGAGGCAGCAGUGGGGAAUUUUGGACGAUGGGCGCAAGCCUGAUCCAGCCAUGCCGCGUGUGUGAAGAAGGCCUUCGGGUUGUAAAGCACUUCCGGACGGAACGAAAUCGCGCGGGCGAAUACCCCGCGUGGAUGACGGUACCGUAAGAAGAAGCACCGGCUAACUACGUGCCAGCCGCCGCCGUAA
rnacentral:rRNA from 1 species